UUUCCGUAGGUGAACCUGCGGAAGGAUCAUUAAAGAGUAGGGGACAUUCUGGCCCGACGUCCAACCCUUUGUUUAAUUCGUAUGUUGCUUUGGCGGCCCCGUUUCACGACCGCCGGAAUCUCUCGGACUACUACCCCGUGCCCGCCAAUAGCCUUCUACAAACUCUUGAUCAAUUGUGAUGUCUGAGUAAUAAAUUUAAUAGUUAAAACUUUCAACAACGGAUCUCUUGGUUCUG
rnacentral:misc_RNA from 1 species